AAAAAGCAGGAACGAGUAGCGGUGGCUGAAGAACGAGCAGGAGCUUGAAUUUCAGUUUUCUUAUGAGGAAUUUUCCAGAAAAGAUAUCUUCACUGUGAAAUAACUAAAUAAAUGCCCACUCAGUACAAGAUGCGGAUCUCACUAUUUGCCCAGACUGAUCUCAAACUCCUGAUUUCAAGCAAUCCUCCUGCCCCAAUCUCCUACAGUGCUGGGAUUACAGGAGUCACUGUCUCCCUUUUGGAACUUGAUGGCACCUUAAGCCCAGGUUUGCCUCCACUCUAGAAACUCAUCAGAGUGAUGCCCUUCUCAAAUGGGGGAGGUCCCAAAGCGGAUAUCCUGGCAGUGUGAAAGGCCGGCUAAAGGUUUGUGCCAAGAGGAUCUGUGGAAUGCAUCUCCUACAGCUGGUGCUGCUGAGUAACCACUCUGAUCUGGCAUCUUCUUUGAUCAAGUUACAGAGCAGAGUUUCCAGGGCUGGGGAUUGAAGUCCUGCCUCCUCCCUUUGUCUCUGGUUGUCCUCGGUAAUGUUUUUCCCUCAAGACAAAAAUACCUGCUACAUGCUUCCUUCUGUAUGAAUACAUGAGACCUACCUUCAUUCAUGUUUCCUCUAUGAAGCUUUCCCUGCACUCCAAACACAGAGCUGAGACUUCCACCUAAUGUAGAAAGCUAGCACGAGCCGGCGCUGACAGAUGGAAGACUUGAGAUGUUACAAGAUUAUAUAUGGAAACACAAAAGGAGUGGAGUUGCUGGGUCAUAUGGCAAUUCAUUUGAGGAACUGAGAAGCUUAUUCCAUGGAGGCUGAACUGUUUUAUAUUCCCACCAGCAACGUGUAAGGUUCCAGUUUAUCUACAUCAUCACCAACACUUGCUAUUUUCCAUUUCAUUAAUGAUAGCCAUCCUAGUGGAUUUGAAGUGGUACCUUAUUAUCGUGGUUUUGAUUGCAUUCUCUAUUGACUAAUGAUAUCGAGCAUCUUUUCAUGUAUUUUUUGGUCAUUUGGUCAUUUUUCUUUUUUAAUUUUAAAAUUUUGAGACAGGCUCUCACUAUGUUGCCCAGGUGGUCUCAAACUCCUGGGUUCCAGCGAUGCUCAUGCCUCAGUCUCCCAAAGGGGUGGGAUUACAGGUGUGAGCCACUUUGCCCAGCCCAUUUGUAUAUCUCCUUUGGAGAAUAUCUAGGUUCUUUUGAAGGUAGCUGCAUAUAAACUAGCCAAAUUAACAGACUGUGGUUUUUAGAUGGCUUUCCAUAUCUACAAGAACUAUUUAGUUCUCAAAACUGGGAAGAAAUGUUUCAGAGGCAUCAUUAAUUCAUAAUCUAAAAAUUUAUCUUGGGUUUCCUUUUUUCCCCCAGAUUCUGUAUCCUCCAUAGUCCUAUUCAUGACAUGGGUCGUUCAUCUCUGUAUUCUAAACCCUCAAUGAACUGUAGACAGUAAUAAAUAUUUAUUGGAUGAAUGGUCUCUCAUCAGCCACCUUUUCUUUUUUUUUUUUUGAGACAGAGUCUCACUCUGUCACUCAGGCUGGAGUGCAGUGGCGCGAUCUCGGUUCACUGCAACCUCUGCCUCCCGGGUUCAAGUGAUUCUCCCACCUGAGCCUCCCGAGUAGCUGGGAUUACAGGUGCACGCCACCUUGUCUGGCUAAUUUUUGUAUUUUUAGUAGAGACAGGGUUUCACCGUGUUGGUCAGGCUGGUCUCAAACGCCUGACCUCAGGUGAUCUGCCCGACUUGGCCUCCCAAAGUGCUGGGAUUACAGGUGUGAGCCACCGCACCUGGCCUCCAGCCUCUUUUCUUUUUUUUUUUUGAGACAAGUCUAACUCUGUCACCCAGGCUGGAGAGCAGCGGCAUGAUCAUGGCUCACUGCUGCCUCAACCUCAGAGGCUCAAGUCAUUGUCCCCACCUCAGCCUCCCUAGUAGACUGGACUACAGGCAUGUGCCACCACACCCAGCUAAUUUUUCAUCAGCCACCUUUUCUAACCAUCUGUCUGCACUGACUUCCCAGGUUCUGCAUCAUUAUUGGUUUACUGAGACAAUGCACUUCACCCGUCCUUCAAUCCCAAAGUAGCACAGAAUAUCAGGAGUUCUUUGAGCCCCUAAGUGCCCUACUUUCCCAGGGUCAGGGGACCCUGACAAGCAAGGUCCCCACAUCUUUCUGUGGUUGGAUAGGGAUAUAAAAUUUCUCACACAUGUUAAAUCAAGAUACUUUGGCCAGGCACGGUGGCUCACACCUGUAAUCCCAGCACUUUGGGAGGCUGAGGUGUACAGAUCACUUGAGGUCAGGAGUUUGAGACAAGCCUGGUCAACAUGGUGAAACUCCCAUCUCUACUAAAAAAAAAAAAACUUUGGGAGGCCGAGGUGGGUGGAUCAUGAGGUCAGGAGUUUGAGACCAGCCUGGCCAACAUGGUGAAACCCCGUCUCUACUAAAAAUGCAAAAAUUAGGUGGGUGUGGUGGCACACAGCAGUAGUCCCAGCUACUCAGGAGGCUGAGGCAGGAGAAUUGCUUGAACCUGGGAGGCAGAGGUUACAGUGAGCUGAGAUCAUGCCACCGCACUCCAACCAGGGCAACAGAUCAAGACUCCAUCUUGGGGAAAAAAAAAAAAAUUAGCCAGGCUUGGUGGUGGAUGCCUGUAUUCCCAGCUUCUUGGGAGACUGAAGCAGGAGGAUCGCUUGAACCCAGGAGGCAGAGGUUGCAGUGAGUUGAGAUUGUGCCACUGUACUCCAGCCUGGGCAACAGAAACAAUACUCCGUCUCAAAAAAAAAAAAAAAAAAAAAAAAUCAAGACACCAAACACACACAACUAAUUAGCUCUAUAAAUUGAAUUAAAAGAAAAUCCAUACUGACUUGCUUUCCCAUCUGUCCAUAUUUGUCUAUCCAAAUGAUUAAGGGCUAGAGAAAAUACAGAUGAUGAUGGCUGAGAUGGGAUAAAACUAUAAAUUGACUUGGUUCCAUUUACCUCCCAGAAUCAGCAUACAGUGACAAAGUAGAGAGAAAAGGUCUGGGCACCACAAACUUGUACUUGUGCUAGAAAUGUAGGUGCCUUUUCAUUUGCCCAGCAGGGCUAGUUUAACAGCCAGGGUAUCUUCUGGGACUCUUCCCCAAAUCUUGCUCUACCGCUGACUAGCUAUGUGAUCUUGGGCAAGUUUCUCAACCUUUCUGUGCCUUUCUUCCUUUACUUAUAAAUAAGGAUAACAGAAUUUGCUUCAUAGAGUUAGUCUGAGGAUUCAGUAAGUAGAUACGUGUAAUCUUAGAACAGUGUCUGGCACACAGUAAAACUCUAUCUUUGCUAUUGUUGUUUUUGUUAUAACUGUAUAGAUGUUAGCUAUUAUUACUAUCCACAAGAAUGGGACAUAUCAAUUAUAUAUAUUACUGGCCUAGUAAUUAUAUAUACUUAGAAUCCCUGAUCAAUAAAAUAAAUUGUAAUAGAAAUUUUUAUUCCUCAAACACAUUUUUGUUCCUCAAACACAUUUUUAAAUAAACAUGUCUUGGGAAAGCCAAAGAAAAAAAAAUCAUACCUAUAUCCAAAUAUGUUAUAUUAAAACCUUGUUCCUUGGCAAUUUCACUAAGCAGCUGGAUGUAAUCUGUAUUUGGAAUACUAAGGAGGCUUCUUUUCAGUAAGUUGAUCUUUUCACCAGGAGAAUUCCUCAAGGAAUGCCAAGUACAUCCUAAAGAAUGUCCUACUACAUUUGUCUGAAAAACAGAGAUGAAGAUUUAGACUCUUGACUAGGACUGGGUUCCAACACCCGUACCAGUAUCAUUAAAAGUACUUAUUAAGCACUCACAUUUAAUAUGUUAUAAAGCAUGUUUAAAUGGAUAACAUUUGGUUAAUUUUCCAAUUUAAACAAGACAACAUUAAAAAGUACACAUUUAACAAUACUAUAUGUUUUUAAGAAGCACUUGCAAUAAUAUACUGAAAGCAUUUUGUAUUUUGUAUAGUACAAAUGUUUCUCAGUCAAGUUUUCUGAUGGUCACAUUAAGAGGUACAAGAUAUCUGGAAGCACCAUAAGUAAAUCCACAAAUAAUUAAAUCUGCCUAAUGGAGCAAUUUGCAGAUUAAAAUAUAGAACAAUUUUCAUAUCUUUGGUUUUUUUUGUAUUAAAUACCAAUCACUAUAACUGACAGCUAUCAAACAGGAAAAAAAACAGAAAAAAAAACUAAAAAAAACAUGAAAUGUGCGCGUUGGGUUUGAGGAACAAGUCAUUCAAAUAAAUGACAGGAUGUCAAAAAGUUCUUAUCAGACUUCUAUCCCAGAACCCAACUGAGUAUUUUUUUCCUUUUUCUUUCUGCUUUUCCUCUUUCCUUUAUCCUCCCCUAUAUCCUUCCCUUUUCAUCUCUGUCCUUAGAAUGCCUUAUAUUUCCAUAUUAGUUUAUGGUUCUCAAAUUGCUUUCAUAUGCCAUUAAUAAAAACAACUACUUUCUGAAGUAAGUAGGGUUACUACUCUUAAUAUUGUUUUAUUAAUGAGCACGACAGAGGGGAGGCAAUUUCCAAAAGAUUUUAGAGAUGGCAUGAUAUGGAAUUAAGUAAUUUAUUAGAUUUACCAAAUAAAAAUUUACAUUAUAGAAACUUUAAAAUACUGUUUUUAAAUAAAGAACACUAUUUACAUGGUUAAAAAUAUACAUGCACUAAGAACAAAUAUAUAAUGAAGAGUACAGUCUCUUUUCCUUACCACCCAUUCCCUGAAGACCUCUGUUCUAUUUCUUAGACAUACUGUUAAACAUUUUUCAGUAUCUUCCCAUAAAUGUUCUAUGCAUAUGCAAGCACACACAAUCUUUUAAAGCAAAUGAUAACUUACUCCUCUACAUCUUGUUCAUUUUUCUUUUAUCAGUGCACAUAUAUGCACUGUAUUUACCUUACGGAUCUCCAACUGUGAGCUUUAGGUUGUUUCUAGUUUCUUGCUUUUACUAGCAAUAAACACUCUUUUGCACUUGAAUGAGUUUCUCUGUAGAAUUAUUUCUAGAAGUGGAACUGCUAAGUCAAAGAACAUGUACACUUUUAAUUUUGAUAAAUACUUCCAAACUGAUUUCUGAACCAAUUUAUACUCCUACCAACUGUCUUGGAGGGGGCUUGUUUUCUCAUACCCUCACUAAUACCAGCUAUUAUCAAAUUUUGUAGUUUUUGCCAAUCUAAAAGGUGAAAAUAUUUUAUCUUGCAUGAAUAAAGUUGAAUAUUUUUUCUUUUUUUCCCUUAAUCGUUUGCAUUUCUUCUACUGGGUUGUCUUUUUAACUGAUGCAUAAGAGCUUUUUAAAUUUUCUCUUUUUUAAGAGUUAGGAUCUUGCUGUGUGGCUUAACUCUCAAACUCUUGGGCUCUAGCAGUCCUCCCACCUUAGCCUCCCGAGUAGCUGGGACUACAGGCAUGUGCUGCUGUGUGCAGCAGAUGUGUACAAAAGAGCUUUAAAGGUAGUACUGAAAACAGUUCCUUUAUAGUUCUAUGUUGAAAAUAAUUUCUUCCCACUUUUUUAUUGUCUUAAUUUACAGAUUUUUUGCUGUGCAGUAGGUUUUAUGUUGUCAAAUGUAUUAAUCUUUUAACCUAGGUUUUAAGUUAAAAUGCUUUCCCCAUGCUAAGAUUUUUAAAAAGAAAAACUCUUCCAUGUUUCCUAAUAUUUAUACUGUUUCAAAUUUUUAUGUUCAAAUCUUUGAUCCAUCUGAAAUUCACUUUGGUGUAAGGAAUAAGGAAGCAUUCUAAAUAGAUGUCAUACACAUCAACAAAUAUAUAUAUAUAGCCCCCACCCAAAUGUGGAUGUAAACUGUUUCUACAUCAUUAUUGAAUAAUCCAUCCUCUCACCCACUGAUCUGAAAUCUCACUGUUGCUAUAUACUAUGGUCCUAUGUGGAUUAGCAUCUACGCCUGGAUUCUCUAUUCGCUCCUCUGACUAUUCCUGGCCCAGUAACUUGUCUGACAAGUUCAGUUUUACAGUAUGUUUUGUUCUCUAGUAAAGCAGCACACCCUUGCUCUCCCAACUCUUCCUUUUCAGUUUUCUUGGCUAUUCUUGAGGGUUUUUUUCCAGAUAAACUUCAAUAAACGUGUAUCAAGGUCCAAAAUGAACGCUGGUAGGUUUUUUUUUUUUUCGAGUUGGGGUCUCACUCUGUCGCCUAGGCUGGAGUGCAGUGGCGUGGAUCUCUGCUCACUGCAAGCUCCGCCUCCCGGGUUCAUGCCAUUCUCCUGACUCAGCCUCCGGAGUAGCGGGGACUACAGGCGCACGCCACCAGGCCCGGCUAAUUUUUUUUUUUGUAUUUUUAGUAGAGACGGGGUUUCACCGCGUUAGCCAGAAUGGUUUCUAUCUCCUGACCUCAUGAUCCGCCCACCUCGGCCUCCCAAAGUGCUGGGAUUACAGGCGUGAGCCACUGUGCCUGGCCAAACGCUGGUAGGUUUUGAGUGAGACCACAUUACAUUUAAAUAUAUUUACAAUGUUUUCUGCUCUAUUCUUUAGUAGACUUUUCCUCACGUGGUCCUACGCAUUUCUUUCUAAGUUUAUUUUCAUAUAGCCUAUCCCUGUCUACAAUUUAAAUUGGGAUCUUCUAUAUUCUAGUUAUUAUUUGUAAAUAAGAAAACUACUGACUUUUUUCUAGUAUAUUUUCUCAGAAUAGGAUUUUCUAUUUUUCUAUAAAAUGACCAAUGUUAUGAAGCUUCGUAAGUUUUGUCAAAGUGAUACACACAUACAGCAAAAAAUCAAAUAGUACAGAAGUAUAAAAGCAACAACCUCUGCCUUGCCCCUUCUCCACCUUCAGGUCCCCUUCCCAGAUACAAUAAUUUUUAGCUUUUUAUUUUUAAUUAUUCUGGUUGUUACCUACAUAACUCUGGGCAAUAUGGAAAAGUUAUUGAUUUUGUAUAUUAAUUUCAUAAUCAGUUACCUUGAUGAAUUCUCUUGUUUCUAGUAGUUUUUCUUUAGGGUUUUAAAGGGAUACAAUCAUACCAUUUGCAGUUAGUAACCAUUUUAUCUCCUCUUAUUUCCAACUUCGUACUGUUUUCUCUUGUCUAAUUUGUUUUUAAUUGGUGGGUACUUCUAGAACAAGGUUAAAUAAAAGUGGUGUUGGUGGGCGUCCUUAUUUCUGAUAUUAAUGGGAAUGAGUAUAAUGUAUAAAUAUAUAACCAUGAUUUUGGUUUUUUUCCAAGUUUUUAUCAGUAAUGAUUGCUGAGUUUUAUCAAAAUUUUUUUGGCAUCCAUUGAGAGGAUUAUAUAUUACUCUUUGACACAUUAAUGUGGUUAAUUAAAGUAACCAACUUAUUAACCUUGAAAUAGUCUUAGUUAAAUAAACCCUACUUGUCAAUGCUAUAUCAUUAUUUUAAUAUUGUACUGAACAUUUUACAAAGGUGUUUCACCAUAAGGCAUAUUGAUCUGUAAUUUUUUUUUUUCUGUUGAACUUGCUAUUGUCAGGUUUUGGUGUAUUAUGUUGGUUUUGGAGAAUAAAUUUAAAAGUUUCCUUUAUGUUAUCUAUACAUUGCCUGAAAAGAGUUUAAAUAGCAUUGAAAAUGAUCUCUUCUUUGAAGAUUUAACCAAUUUCACCUGUAAAUCUGUCUGUGCUUUGUAAUUUUGGUGAUACUGUUGACUCAAAUUCCAAAAGCAGUAAAUGCAGUGUUUUAUAUUUUUCUAUUAAAAAUGUAAAAUCAAAUUAUAUUA
rnacentral:lncRNA from 1 species